rnacentral:rRNA from 1 species
UACGAAGGGGGCUAGCGUUGUUCGGAAUUACUGGGCGUAAAGCGUGCGCAGGCGGCUUCUCAAGUCAGGGGUGAAAGCCCAGAGCUCAACUCUGGAAUUGCCUUUGAGACUGAGUGGCUUGAGUACGGGAGAGGUGAGUGGAAUUCCCAGUGUAGAGGUGAAAUUCGUAGAUAUUGGGAAGAACACCGGUGGCGAAGGCGGCUACCUGGACAGAGUCUGACGCUGAGGCACGAAAGCUAGGGGAGCAAACAGG